AACGAACGCUGGCGGCAUGCCUAACACAUGCAAGUCGAACGAGACCUUCGGGUCUAGUGGCGCACGGGUGCGUAACGCGUGGGAACCUGCCCUUAGGUUCGGAAUAACUCCCCGAAAGGGGUGCUAAUACCGGAUAAUGUCUUCGGACCAAAGAUUUAUCGCCUUUGGAUGGGCCCGCGUUGGAUUAGCUAGUUGGUAGGGUAAAGGCCUACCAAGGCGACGAUCCAUAGCUGGUCUGAGAGGAUGACCAGCCACACUGGGACUGAGACACGGCCCAGACUCCGAGGGGAGGCAGGAGUGGGGAAUAUUGCACAAGGGGAGAAAGCCUGAUGAAGCGACGCCGCGUGGGGGAUGAAGGCGUUAGGGUUGUAAACCAAUUUCCGUAGGGAAGAAGAGAAAGUGACGGUACCGGCAGAAGAAGCACCGGCUAACUACGUG
rnacentral:rRNA from 1 species